CAGCACCUCAAGUGGUCAGGAUGAUUAUUGGGCCUAAAGCAUCCGUAGCCGGCGCUGUAAGUUUUCGGUUAAAUCUGUACGCUCAACGUACAGGCUGCCGGGAAUACUGCAGCGCUAGGGAGUGGGAGAGGUAGACGGUACUCGGUAGGAAGGGGUAAAAUCCUUUGAUCUAUUGAUGACCACCUGUGGCGAAGGCGGUCUACCAGAACACGUCCGACGGUGAGGGAUGAAAGCCGGGGGAGCAAACCGGAUUAGAUACCCGAGUAGUC
rnacentral:rRNA from 1 species